CCUACGGGGGGCAGCAGUGAGGAAUAUUGGUCAAUGGACGAAAGUCUGAACCAGCCAUGCCGCGUGCAGGAAGACGGCUCUAUGAGUUGUAAACUGCUUUUGUACAAGAGUAAACCUGAAUACGUGUAUUCAGCUGAAAGUACUUUACGAAUAAGGAUCGGCUAACUCCGUGCCAGCAGCCGCGGUAAUACGGAGGAUCCAAGCGUUAUCCGGAUUUAUUGGGGUUAAAGGGUGCUUAGGCGGGUUGAUAAGUUAGUGGUGAAAUGUGCGGGCUCAACUCUGGAACUGCCUCUAAUACUGGCGAUCUAGAGAGUAGAUGAGGUAGGCGGAAUGUAUGGUGUAGCGGUGAAAUGCUUAGAGAUCACACAGAACACCGAUUGCGAAGGCAGCUUACCAAUCUAUAUCUGACGUUGAGGCACGAAAGCGUGGGGAGCAAACAGGAUUAGAUACCCUGGUAGUC
rnacentral:rRNA from 1 species